rnacentral:rRNA from 1 species
UAAGCCUGUGAAGGUGGCCUGUGAGGGUUGCUGGAGGUAUCAGAAGUGCGAAUGCUGACAUAAGUAACGAUAAAGCGGGUGAAAAGCCCGCUCGCCGGAAGACCAAGGGUUCCUGUCCAACGUUAAUCGGGGCAGGGUGAGUCGACCCCUAAGGCGAGGCCGAAAGGCGUAGUCGAUGGGAAACGGGUUAAUAUUCCCGUACUUGGUGUUACUGCGAAGGGGGGACGGAGAAGGCUAUGUUGGCCGGGCGACGGUUGUCCCGGUUUAAGCGUGUAGGUGUGUGUUCCAGGUAAAUCCGGUUCACUUUAACACUGAGGCGUGACGACGAGGCACUACGGUGCUGAAGCAACAAAUGCCCUGCUUCCAGGAAAAGCCUCUAAGCAUCAGGUAACAUCAAAUCGUACCCCAAACCGACACAGGUGGUCAGGUAGAGAAUACCAAGGCGCUUGAGAGAACUCGGGUGAAGGAACUAGGCAAAAUGGUGCCGUAACUUCGGGAGAAGGCACGCUGACACGUAGGUGAAGUGAUUUACUCAUGGAGCUGAAGUCAGUCGAAGAUACCAGCUGGCUGCAACUGUUUAUUAAAAACACAGCACUGUGCAAACACGAAAGUGGACGUAUACGGUGUGACGCCUGCCCGGUGCCGGAAGGUUAAUUGAUGGGGUCAGCGCAAGCGAAGCUCCUGAUCGAAGCCCCGGUAAACGGCGGCCGUAACUAUAACGGUCCUAAGGUAGCGAAAUUCCUUGUCGGGUAAGUUCCGACCUGCACGAAUGGCGUAAUGAUGGCCAGGCUGUCUCCACCCGAGACUCAGUGAAAUUGAACUCGCUGUGAAGAUGCAGUGUACCCGCGGCAAGACGGAAAGACCCCGUGAACCUUUACUAUAGCUUGACACUGAACAUUGAGCCUUGAUGUGUAGGAUAGGUGGGAGGCUUUGAAGUGUGGACGCCAGUCUGCAUGGAGCCGACCUUGAAAUACCACCCUUUAAUGUUUGAUGUUCUAACGUGGACCCGUAAUCCGGGUUGCGGACAGUGUCUGGUGGGUAGUUUGACUGGGGCGGUCUCCUCCUAAAGAGUAACGGAGGAGCACGAAGGUUGGCUAAUCCUGGUCGGACAUCAGGAGGUUAGUGCAAUGGCAUAAGCCAGCUUGACUGCGAGCGUGACGGCGCGAGCAGGUGCGAAAGCAGGUCAUAGUGAUCCGGUGGUUCUGAAUGGAAGGGCCAUCGCUCAACGGAUAAAAGGUACUCCGGGGAUAACAGGCUGAUACCGCCCAAGAGUUCAUAUCGACGGCGGUGUUUGGCACCUCGAUGUCGGCUCAUCACAUCCUGGGGCUGAAGUAGGUCCCAAGGGUAUGGCUGUUCGCCAUUUAAAGUGGUACGCGAGCUGGGUUUAGAACGUCGUGAGACAGUUCGGUCCCUAUCUGCCGUGGGCGCUGGAGAACUGAGGGGGGCUGCUCCUAGUACGAGAGGACCGGAGUGGACGCAUCACUGGUGUUCGGGUUGUCAUGCCAAUGGCACUGCCCGGUAGCUAAAUGCGGAAGAGAUAAGUGCUGAAAGCAUCUAAGCACGAAACUUGCCCCGA